GUGUUGGCUCUGGUCAGGUAAGCUUCAUACGUGGUUCUAGUGAAUUUGGGUUUAAAAUACUUUAUUUCCCUUCCCCCACAAUCAAAUAAUUGGGGUACAAGACUAAGUAUUAAUCUCAGUCUAAAUUACUCAUAUAAGCUAGUUUGUUCUAUUUAGCAGCAUUUGCUUCUCCGCAUUCCGAACUUCAAUUUUGUUCAGUUUGAUAGAUCAUGACAAUUUCAGCCAACCAUUUCAAUAGGAU
rnacentral:misc_RNA from 1 species